ensembl:snRNA U1 U1 spliceosomal RNA
UUACUUACCCUGGCCAAGGAGAUACCAUGGUCACGAACGUGGUUUUCCCAGGGCAAGGCUUAUCCAUUGCACUCCGGAUGUGCUGAGCCCUGCGAUGUCCCUGGACGCGGGGAGCCUGGCUGCAUGAUUCGCAGCAGCGGGGACUGCGGUUGUGUUCUCCCUGG